rnacentral:lncRNA from 1 species
UUAUUUGAUAUUAGUUUUGGAAACGCACCACGAUUUAACAUUUUUAUCAUGCAUCUAAAUUUUUCUUUAUAAAAAAGAAAAAGACAUUCACUAUUGAAAAGAAAAAGGGUUUCACGUUUGGUAGAUAUGGUGUCCAGUUUCCAGCUGUUUUGUAAAAGUGGAUCAUGCCCCCUACCAACGGCGGCGAUCGUCCUUAGAAUCCGAAAUCAACGGGCAUGAAUCUCCGAUGAAGGAGAAAAGUUAAGAGUCGACGUAGCUUUCAAUGGAGAUGUGUCGGCUAAUUGUUCAAAAAAGUGGCAGACUGUGUGAUUCACAGUAGCUUAUAUUUUCUUCUUUUUCAUUAUGUUAUUAUCAUUUCUGCGAACUUUGCGGCC